AGGACAAUAAUGCUGAAAGCAUUUGAAAUUUAUCAAUUUUCACUCUAGCAGAAGGUAGUUUCGGACUUUGCCGAUUAUUACAAAUGAGGCCUUAUCACUGAAGUUUGUAACAUCCGAUAUCAGCGGAUAACUGCCAUUGCAUUUAGCGACAGCUGUAAACAGAAUGGCAGAAGAACCUUUUGAGAGGACGGAAAAGAAACCCGAGCCUGUCAGCAUUACCUCCCCUGAAAUGUAAGAAACUGGUGGAUUCCAAGACAAAAUUGUGGAAAAUGGAGACAUCUUCAAAUAACAGAAAGAAAUAAAGGCUGAAGAGGCAGGAUCACAGAUGUCAGAUGAAAGUUACCGCAAAAAAGGUUAAGUUGGAAAAGAGUGAAAAUGAAAAUGGAUGCUUGUGCAGUGACUGAAGUUGAAGUCAUAAAUUGAGGAUGAUGAAGCUACACGAAAAAGCUCUCAGCUCUACAGUCCGAGUCUGACCGACUUGUCCGACGAGCCACUGUCGGCGGCACUGCGAUCGCAGGCCCCUCACGGUGUGUGCUUACUCAGGCAAGUGUCGUGGGGAUUUGUUAAUGUAGAGGCUGACUGUACGCUGUAGGUGUCUGCAGACUUCCAUCAUUAGAGGAACAGUUCUAUGAACAGUACAUGCCAUUCUCGGGAGUGUGGACCACUUCGUUGGUUACUCGAGUUCCUCAUCUGACCCCAGAACUGUCAUUUACUGCAGCUAGGCAUUUAGCACUAAUAAAAUGUGAGUUACAUAAAAUGGAAGUGUCCGACAUAUCAGCAGCCGUGAAGAUAUGAAAAUUUAAAGGUAUCUCCAUUUUGAGCAGUACAAACUUUAGAAUUAUUAUUCUAAUUUG